UUUGACAUGUACGGAAUCCUUUAGAGAUAGAGGAGUGCUCGAAAGAGAGCCGUAACACAGGUGCUGCAUGGCUGUCGUCAGCUCGUGUCGUGAGAUGUUGGGUUAAGUCCCGCAACGAGCGCAACCCUUGUCAUUAGUUGCUACAUUCAGUUGGGCACUCUAAUGAGACUGCCGGUGACAAACCGGAGGAAGGUGGGGAUGACGUCAAGUCCUCAUGGCCCUUAUAGGUGGGGCUACACACGUCAUACAAUGGAUGGUACAAAGGGUCGCCAACCCGCGAGGGGGAGCCAAUCCCAUAAAGCCAUUCGUAGUCCGGAUCGCAGUCUGCAACUCGACUGCGUGAAGUCGGAAUCGCUAGUAAUCGUGGAUCAGAAUGUCACGGUGAAUACGUUCCCGGGUCUU
rnacentral:rRNA from 1 species